AGUUCGGAUCGCAGGCUGCAACCCGCCUGCGUGAAGUCGGAAUCGCUAGUAAUCGCGGAUCAGCAUGCCGCGGUGAAUACGUUCCCGGGCCUUGUACACACCGCCCGUCACACCAUGAGAGUCGGGAACACCCGAAGUCCGUAGCCUAACCAAUCUGGAGGGCGCGGCCGAAGGUGGGUUCGAUAAUUGGGGUGAAGUCGUAACAAGGUACC
rnacentral:rRNA from 1 species